rnacentral:tRNA from 1 species
AAUUGAAUCAAGCAAUUCGUGUGGGAACUUAUGAAGAAGCCGAUGUCUUCGAUUAAGGAGGUGAUCCAGCCGCAG